CUUCUACAUGAGGAAUACUUAUCUAAAGCUAUGGAAGAAAUUCCAAAUGAUGCUUUUUGUCAUAGUUACUCUGAUAGAUG
rnacentral:snRNA from 1 species